AGAAUGGAAACCUAAUAAACCCUCACAGAUAAGGUCAAAAGAUUGACAAGGAUGCCAAGACCAUUCAGUGGCAAAAUGGUGAUGGGAAAGCAGGAUCUAAGCACUAAAGAAUGGAGAUGGCCCCUUGCCUCACACCAUAUUCAAAAAUUAAUUCAAAAUGGAUGAAAGAGCUGAAACUAUUAAAAGUCCCAGAAACAUGGAUCUAACAAAUGGAUUCUUAGGACACCAGCAGCAGGAGCAACAAAAGGAAAACCAGAUAAAUUGGACACAACAUGGGCAGCCCUGGUGGCGCAGCGAUUUGGUGCCACCUGCAGCCCGGGGUGUGAUCCUGGAGACCCGGGAUCGAGUCCCACGUCGGGCUCCCUGCAUGGAGCCUGCUUCUCCCUCUGCCUGUGUCUCUGCCUCUCUCUCUCUCUCUCUCUCUCUCUCUCUGACUAUCAUAAAUAAAUAAAUUAAAAAAAAAUAAAUUGGACACAACAAAACUUAAAAGUCUUGUGCGUCUAAGGCCAUUAUCAGUAAAGUAAAAAGUCCACAGAGUGGGAGAAAAUGUAGGUUAUAUAACUGGUAAGAGACUAGUAACCAAGAUAUGCAGGGAACUCUUACAGCUGAGCAGCAAAAAAGACCAACCCCAAUUCAAAAGGGCUCAUCAGCCAUUUCUCCAAAGACAACAUAGAAGUAGCCAAAAAGUACAAGAAAGGGGACUCAACAUCCUUAGUCACUAUAAAAUGCAUGUGAAAACCACAAUGAGAUACUACUUCACACAGGAUGGCUGUGAUUUUUAAUAAACAACCAGCAUUGGCAAGGAUGUGGACAGACUGGAGCCUCUGUCCAUUACAGAUGGGAAUGUAAAUGGUACAGCUGCUGUGGAAACAGUCUGGCAGCUCCUCAGAAAGUUAAAUGGAACAAUAACCAAAGACCCAGCAACUCCUGGGUCGGGUACACAUACGCAGCAGAAAUGAAAAUGGACUCAAACAGAUACUUGUACAUGAAUGUUUGUGGCAGCACGAUUUACAACAGCCAAAAGGUAAAAAUGACUCAAAUGCCCACCAACAGAUGAGUACAUAAACAAAAUAUGGUCUCUCCAUACAAUGGAAUAGUUUUCAACAGUAAAAAGAAAAUACUGACACCUGCUACAACGUGGAUAAACUUUCGAAGUAUUACACUUACGCUCCGUGAAAUAAACCAGACACAAAAGAUCACCUA
rnacentral:lncRNA from 1 species